rnacentral:rRNA from 1 species
GAUGAACGCUGGCGGCGUGCCUAAUACAUGCAAGUCGAGCGAACGGACGAGGAGCUUGCUUCUCUGAUGUUAGCGGCGGACGGGUGAGUAACACGUGGAUAACCUACCUAUAAGACUGGGAUAACUUCGGGAAACCGGAGCUAAUACCGGAUAAUAUUUUGAACCGCAUGGUUCAAAAGUGAAAGACGGUCUUGCUGUCACUUAUAGAUGGAUCCGCGCUGCAUUAGCUAGUUGGUAAGGUAACGGCUUACCAAGGCAACGAUGCAUAGCCGACCUGAGAGGGUGAUCGGCCACACUGGAACUGAGACACGGUCCAGACUCCUACGGGAGGCAGCAGUAGGGAAUCUUCCGCAAAGGGCGAAAGCCUGACGGAGCAACGCCGCGUGAGUGAUGAAGGUCUUCGGAUCGUAAAACUCUGUUAUUAGGGAAGAACAUAUGUGUAAGUAACUGUGCACAUCUUGACGGUACCUAAUCAGAAAGCCACGGCUAACUACGUG